GUCACUCUAUUCCAAUGGAAGAGAAAAUAGUUUCAAAAACUAUCCAGUCAGAGUUCAAGUCUCUGGAGUGACACCA
rnacentral:tRNA from 1 species